rnacentral:tRNA from 1 species
GGAGGGUAUAGCUCAGUGGUAGAGCAUGUGCUUAGCAUGCAUGAGGUCCUGGGUUCAAUCCCCAGUACCUCCA